UUUCCGGUUGAUCCUGCCAGAGGUUACUGCUAUCGAGAUUCGAUUAAGCCAUGCGAGUUGAAUGUUCUUCGUGAACAUGGCGGACUGCUCAGUAACACGUGGACAACCUACCCUUGGAUCUGGGAUAAACCCGGGAAACUGGGCAUAAUACCGGAUAAGCCACAUAUGCUGGAAUGCUUUGUGGCUCAAAGCUCCGGCGUCCAAGGAUGGGUCUGCGGCCUAUCAGGGUAGUAGUGGGUGUAAUGUACCUACUAGCCUACGACGGGUACGGGUUGUGAGAGCAAGAGCCCGGAGAUGGAUUCUGAGACACGAAUCCAGGCCCUACGGGGUGCAGCAGGCGCGAAAACUUUACAAUGCGGGAAACCGCGAUAAGGGAAUCUCGAGUGCCAGCAUAUAAUGUUGGCUGUCCAGAUGCCUAAAAAGCAUUUGUUAGCAAGGGCCGGGCAAGACCGGUGCCAGCCGCCGCGGUAACACCGGCGGCCCGAGUGGUAACCGUUAUUAUUGGGUCUAAAGGGUCUGUAGCCGGCCGAAUAAGUCUCUUGGGAAACCUGGCAGCUUAACUGUCAGGCAGUCAGGGGAUACUGUUCGGCUUGGGACCGGGAGAGGUGAGAGGUACCUCGGGGGUAGGGGUGAAAUCUUGUGAUCCUCGAGGGACCACCAGUGGCGAAGGCGUCUCACCAGAACGGGUCCGACGGUAAGGGACGAAAGCUAGGGGCACGAACCGGAUUAGAUACCCGGGUAGUCCUAGCCGUAAACGAUGCUUGCUAGGUGUCAGCCACGGUGCGACCGUGGUUGGUGCCGUAGGGAAGCCGUGAAGCGAGCCACCUGGGAAGUACGGCCGCAAGGCUGAAACUUAAAGGAAUUGGCGGGGGAGCACUACAACGGGUGGAGCCUGCGGUUUAAUUGGAUUCAACGCCGGGA
rnacentral:rRNA from 1 species